UACGUAGGGUGCGAGCGUUAAUCGGAAUUACUGGGCGUAAAGCGUGCGUAGGUGGGCAAGUAAGUCAGUGGUGAAAUCUCCGGGCUUAACCCGGAAACUGCCAUUGAUACUAUUUGUCUUGAAUACUGUGGAGGUCAGCGGAAUAUGUCAUGUAGCGGUGAAAUGCUUAGAUAUGACAUAGAACACCAAUUGCGAAGGCAGCUGGCUACACAAAUAUUGACACUGAGGCACGAAAGCGUGGGGAUCAAACAGG
rnacentral:rRNA from 1 species